rnacentral:misc_RNA from 1 species
UUUCCAUAUUUUGUUAUUGAGAGUUUUUAAUUGAUAACAAAUGAACUUAAUUUAAUUUUUCUGCGCAUAAGUUUGUAAAGCAAAUUCAUGUUAUAUUCUACGUUUGGCAAAAUGCUUUUAGUUUGCUUAUGUGCGUGACUCCUCUUGGAACAGCUAGAUUAUCACAAUCAAAACAUACAAAUUGGAAUUGUGUAAAUCCCAUAUUUGUAAAUUACUUAAUUAUAUACCAAAUAUGUUCCACUUGGGCUGAUAAUCAUUUUGUUAUUUUUUUUCCCCAGCUUCUCUUGCAACUGUUAUCUUAAGCUUUGUAGUAAUGAAUAAUUUUAAUUCAUUUUUGCUUUAGGACGAUUACUGGUCAAAUCAUAAGCUUGUUCUUUAUGA